rnacentral:misc_RNA from 1 species
UCUGAUUCCGAGUAAACCGAAUGAAUAUGGGUUAGAAUGACCAUCUUCCUGCAAUGAUGUGCAGUUAGUUCUCUGUCUAAUGACUAAUUUUAUUAUUUUUCUUCGUCUUCUAGCUCUGGAUGGUGAUUGCCGUUCUUUUCAUCCAAGUUCGGUUCGAGGAAGGUGAAGGCAUGAGCGUGAACAUCGGCAUCAGCGUGCGGGGAACCACAAGUUCGUUAGGGCGGCUAAUAUCCGCUUCGCGAGUCUCUCGAGCCUCUACAAUAAAUCGAAGAGCGUCACUUACGCGGCAUGCAUCUCCUUUGGUCCACUAAUCGCUGUUGCUGCCGCUGCGGUUCAAUGCAUCGAGCUUCACUACAAAUAACACUACGUACCUGCACUCAAAGUCAGAAGCAAAAAAACAA